rnacentral:lncRNA from 1 species
ACUGUCUGGCUCGCUUUCAUGAAAGCCUGCCUUUCUUCUUCGUCUCUGUUGACCUCCUGCCAUUCACGUUGGAUCUUAUGCCCAGCAGUUCUUUCUACUCACUGUGGGGCUUUGUCUUAGAAUGCACUUUUGUCUGGUGAGUUUUGAACAUCCGUGGGGCCUAAACUCGCAGGCCUUUUCAGAUCUGUCUACCCGCAGCAAGUCAAGUCUGCAAAGCUCCCUCAGGCGAACACUGCUCUCAGUUGGGCCCCUGGGGUUCGCGGGAACACCUGCCGCUUGCCUAGGGAUUGAGAUGUACAGCGAAUGCUGUUUCCUUUCUGGACCAAAUUAAGAAUGGGGUUUCUUGUGAUUGAAGCCAUGGCCACAGAAAGGAUGGACACAUGUGCACAUCAUGGUAUGGACACACGUGCACAUCAUGGCAUGUGCACCAUUGACUUAUUAGGAAGUAAGACAACACGGGCCUAAGAGAGGAGGCUGGAGAGCUCCAUCAGCCAAGGCCGGAAUAAGAAGAGCCAGCAGGCUUUGCUCGGGCAUCUCUCGCAACCGUUGCAUGUCUCCAUACCAACUGCUAAGAGAAAAGGCAGAGCCACAGAGGCUGUGGCAUGGCCACGACUUCUGGCUGCAUGGGGCUGCACAGCGAUGCUGCAUUGCCUCUGACAGUUUCCAGAAUUCUGCCUCAGAAGGUCAGCCACAUUCACCUGCGGAGAUAUUUUGGGCAGUCGUGACUCCCUUCUCUUGUUAUUCUCAUCAAUUCUCUUAGUGCAGUCACUAAGGCUUUUGAGAGAAAGCUUCAGAGCUAGUCUCCUGUACAACGCAAUGUUCAACACUUCUCCUAUUCUUGUUCAAACCAGUAAAAAUAUCAGAAAAAAUGGAGAAAGGACGAUGCUGACAAGCUGGGUCCUUUUUAUAUACAUCCCGGAGAGAGAGAUGCUUAAAUUCAGUGGCCCAGUCUUACUGGUGUUACCUGUAUUCCACAAACACAUGAAGCACAACCACGUUCCCGUGCUUCAAUGAGCACUUAAUGUUAAGGGCUGCUUUAGCUCGCCACACAAAACUCUGCCUCCUUCAUCCAGUUAUCAAAAACCAUUGAUAAUUGUUUCUGGGAAGGUUACAGGUGGUGAGACAUGGGUGGAAGUUUCAGGACAGGCCUAGUAACCUGAAGGUGAGCAUUUGGGAAAGAUGGAAGUGUGAGCUAUGAGCAGCUAGCACUUGCAGCUGCUGGGAGAACGGUGUGUUGGUCUGAUCAGGGGACAGAGGUUGGCUGGAACCACAACCCUGGCCUUUCUAACAAUGCGUUUGCCUAGGUGCUGGUGUCUACUUGGUGAUCCUGUCUCUGUCUCUGUUUUGGUGAGGGUCAUUUGCUCUGAGGUGUCUUCGUGGCAAUGUUCUAAAUAGUUAAUGACCAUGCCUUUGGAAAAAUCAAAAGCAAUUUCACAUUGCAACCCUGCAGGUCUCAGAAUCUCCGAGAUCUCUGUAUCUGCCUGACUGCUUUCAACCCUUCCUCCCUGAGACUGACCUCUGUCUUAAACUAUCUUGUCAAAUGCAGAUGCUAACACCAGUGCCCACAUCCAGGUUGACUAUCCCAGGGCUGACGUUCAUUUCAAAGAUUCCCAGAUUCCACGGGCCAUAGUUUUAUAAAAACCUUGGCCCAUAAAUAAAAUGAUUUUCCGUUCUCUGGC